UAGGGAAUCUUCGGCAAUGGACGAAAGUCUGACCGAGCAACGCCGCGUGAGUGAAGAAGGUUUUCGGAUCGUAAAACUCUGUUGUUAGAGAAGAACAAGGACGUUAGUAACUGAACGUCCCCUGACGGUAUCUAACGAGAAAGCCACGGCUAACUACGUGCCAGCAGCCGCGGUAAUACGUAGGUGGCAAGCGUUGUCCGGAUUUAUUGGGCGUAAAGCGAGCGCAGGCGGUUUCUUAAGUCUGAUGUGAAAGCCCCCGGCUCAACCGGGGAGGGUCAUUGGAAACUGGGAGACUUGAGUGCAGAAGAGGAGAGUGGAAUUCCAUGUGUAGCGGUGAAAUGCGUAGAUAUAUGGAGGAACACCAGUGGCGAAGGCGGCUCUCUGGUCUGUAACUGACGCUGAGGCUCGAAAGCGUGGGGAGCAAACAGG
rnacentral:rRNA from 1 species